rnacentral:rRNA from 1 species
GGACUACUGGGGUUUCUAAUCCCUUUUGCUCCCCUAGCUUUCGUUCCUCAGCGUCAGUUAUGGCCCAGUCAAGCGCUUUCGCCACCGGUGUUCCUCCAGAUAUCUACGCAUUUCACCGCUACACCUGGAAUUCCCUUGACCUCUGCCACACUCUAGCCAUACAGUUUCCAAUGCCAUGCCGACGUUGAGCGCCAGUAUUUAACACCAGACUUACAUAACCGCCUACGAACUCUUUACGCCCAAUAAUUCCGGACAACGCUUGCAUCCUACGUCUUACCGCGGCUGCUGGCAC